GACCAACUAAGUUAGUUCUUGGUAUGAGCUUUCGUGUGCAAGCACACUUCUUCAGAUACACUGAAACAGAAGUUGCCAGAUCACUAUAUAGAAGGAUCUGGCAACUUCUGUUUCAGUGUAUCUGAAGAAGUGUGCUUGCACACGAAAGCUCAUACCAAGAACUAACUUAGUUGG